CGGAGGGUGCGAGCGUUGUCCGGAAUCACUGGGCGUAAAGGGCGCGUAGGCGGCAUGCCAAGCGUGUGGUGAAAGCCCGGGGCUCAACCCCGGGUCGGCCGUGCGGACUGGCGUGCUCGAGCACUGUAGGGGCGGGUGGAAUUCCGGGUGUAGCGGUGGAAUGCGUAGAGAUCCGGAAGAACACCGGUGGCGAAGGCGGCCCGCUGGGCAGGAAGACGGAGCGAUCCGUCGGCUGACGCUGAGGCGCGACAGCGUGGGGAGCAAACAGGAUUAGAUACCCUGGUAGUCCACGCCGUAAACGAUGUUCACUCGCUGUUUGCGAUACACAGCAAGCGGCCAAGCGAAAGCAUUAAGUGAACCACCUGGGGAGUACGAUCGCAAGGUUG
rnacentral:rRNA from 1 species